AAACCGCCCUCCCCCCUAAAAACAAGGGCAUGUACCCAAACCGUACAAGGUCACUCUUCACUUUUUCUAACACUUCCCGGGCGGCUAUUCCCAAAACAAAAGACACAACCCGUCUUUCCAAUAAUACACAAUUUCCGAUCACCGGAAAAUAAAACGGCGGCAAGAAAAUCCGAGACCCAACAGCAGAAAUGAGAAGAGGAGGAGGAGGUUCUUCAGGGAAUUACAGAAACCCAUGUCUGACUAUGCACCAGCCAUGGGCUUCCCUGCUCGUUUAUGGUAUCAAACGCAUCGAGGGCAGGUCAUGGCCUGCUCCCAUUAGAGGACGUCUUUGGAUUCAUGCAGCUGGUAAGGUUCCAGAGGAGUCUACAAUCAAAGCAAUGGAGGAUUUCUAUCGGGAAAUUUAUGCUGUGGAUGGAGUCACUGAUAUCAAAUUUCCCCAACACUAUCCAGUUUCAAGACUGCUAGGGUGUGUUGAAGUAGUUGGAUGUGUUAGACGUGAAGAGUUAGCUGGUUGGGAGAUGGUUCCUGAAGGGGUGAGGCUGGAAGCACAAACCGAUAUGUGUUGGCUUUGUGAGCAGCCACAGAAACUGUUAAUUCCGUUUGAGAUGCGUGGCUACCAAGGUGUCUAUAACUUGGAAAAGAAGAUAUAUGAAGCUGCUAUUAGAGGUCUCACCCCGGUUGAAGUUCCUCUCCCAGUUAAAUUUCCACUUCCAAAUCCACAAGAUCCAUUUUCCUUGAAGCCAGGGUCUAUAUCUGCAAACGUUGAUCAAUCUAGAACAUCUGAAGCGGGAAGAUCUUCGAGUCUCAAUGCAGCUAUAGCUGGUGCACGAGCAGCUGCUACACAGUUCUCCAAAAAACCUCAAACUUUCCCAACUACCUCCCUAAAUGAUGCAGCCAAAUCUGUGACAGUUCCAAUCAAGAGUGAAUCUUUUGAAGGAGGAAGAGCAAUGACCGGUAAUUUCAGUGAGAGCUCCAACAAAGAGUCAAUGACAUCAAAUAACAAAGAUCAAAUCAGCAGCCGUAAUCAACCUUCUUCUGGAGCUAUUAGACCUCAUCCUGGUGCACCUUCUAAGAUAUAUGAAGCGGCUAUUAGAGGUCUUACCCCUGUUGAAGUUCCCCUUAAAGUCAAAUUUCCAGUUCCAAAUCCAGAAGAUCCAUUUUCCUUGAAGCCAGGAGUUAUAUCUGCUAAUGUCGAUCAGUCUAGAACAUCUGAAGUGGUAAGAUCUUCUAGUCUCAAUACAGCCAUAGCUGGUGCACAAGCAGCUGAUACACAGUUCUCCAAAAAAACUCAAACUUUCCCAACUACCUCCCUAAAUAAUGCCGCGGAAUCUGUGAUGACAGUUCCAAUCAGGAGUGAGUCUUCUGAAGUGGGUAAAGUGACGUCUGCUAAUUUUAUUGAGAGUUCUAAUAAGAGGUCUAUGACAUCAAAUAACAAAGAUCAAAUCAGCAGAGGUGAUCAACCUUCUUCUGGAGCUUUUAGACCUCAUCCUGGUGCACCUUCUAAGUAUGUUUAUGAACGGAGGAGGCGACGAGAUGCCCAGUUUUGACUCUCUGAGAAGUCCUAUAGAAGGCUAUCUAGCCUAAGCUUUUUCCUCUGUAGCAGUACAAAUGAGUCUCAUUAUGCCAUUACAACUGGGAUUCUCAAAUCUCUAGCAAAGCUAGUAUUGAAAGGCAACAAGAAGGACAAAGUCUAUUCCUACUGCUUAAGGUGCUGGGCUUUAUUGAUUCAAACAGUAGGUCUUGAAUUUCUGUUUCUUUCUCUAUCUUGAAAAUCUUUUCGAAAAUUGAUCUUCAGGCUAUGCAUAAACUUGCUUAGCACACAAAUCAAGUUUAGUAGAUCAGCCCAAAAUUUAUUCACAUUUCAUUUUUCUUACGAGAGAUGAAUGUGAAACCCUUUUAUGUUUCUGUUAUAAAUGUCACCAUCUAAUUCAUAUCAUAAUCCUUUUAAUUUCAUUUUAUAUUCAUAUCCCCUUAACUACUCGCCAUAAAUACAAAUAUCUUCUCAUAUAUAUAUAUGGAACUACAGAUAUAGAAUACACGAUGUAUAGAAUAUACUAUAGUGAAGAUCGAUAUAGUGACAACAAAAAGCAUAGCAACAGCUAAGAAAUUGAACUGAAAUGGGUGUCAAGAUAGUUCCAUUUUUAUUCAUGACUACUUUAGUAGUGUUGAUUCUGGAACUAGCAGCUGUAUCGGGUUUUAGGGAUGGGGACAAGGUCUCUGCAGCAGCUUCUCUACAUGUGUUGCUGCCCAAUAGGUUUCCUACGAGGGCAAGAUCUCCGCCGCCUGCUCCUACGUUCAAUAAACAUCGAAAUUUCAGAUACAGAUGGAUUAUCCCUCCUCCUCCUCCAUCAUCUUUAUUGCCACUGCCAUUUUCAUCACCUCCACCUCCACCACCACCACCACCACCACCAUCCCCACCAAGAAAGUCAUCACCACGGCCAUAAUAGCUAUGCAAUAGCCCGGAAAUCACAAAGGAUGCGGUGGAGGUAUGUCCACCACAACAUGCACAAUUCUCCUUGGUUCUUAUGAUUGACGUAACAUCUUGUGCCUUUCGUUGUAUUCUUUCACCUUUUGCAUCUAGGUAUUCUUUCUCAAUUGAACUUGAUAUUAAUCAUAAGAUUAGACCUAGCUGUGGUGAAUUUCUGGUUCUUGUAAUGCCGCAUAUAAAUUAAAGUGACUCUGAAGUGAA